AGCGGAGGAAAAGAAACCAACAGGGAUUGCCCUAGUAACGGCGAGUGAAGCGGCAACAGCUCAAAUUUGAAAUCUGGCUCUUUCAGGGUCCGAGUUGUAAUUUGUAGAGGGUGCUUUGGAGUUGACUGUGGUCUAAGUUCCUUGGAACAGGACGUCGCAGAGGGUGAGAAUCCCGUAUGUGGCCGCCAGUCUUCGCCGUGUAAAGCCCCUUCGACGAGUCGAGUUGUUUGGGAAUGCAGCUCUAAAUGGGAGGUAAAUUUCUUCUAAAGCUAAAUAUUGGCCAGAGACCGAUAGCGCACAAGUAGAGUGAUCGAAAGAUGAAAAGCACUUUGGAAAGAGAGUCAAAAAGCACGUGAAAUUGUUGAAAGGGAAGCGCUUGCAGCCAGACUUGCCUGUAGUUGCUCAUCCGGGCUUUUGCCCGGUGCACUCUUCUAUAGGCAGGCCAGCAUCAGUCCUGGCGGUCGGAUAAAUGCCCGCUGAAUGUACCUCUCCUCGGGGAGGACUUAUAGCAGUGGGCGGCAUACGACCAGCCGGGAUUGAGGUCCGCGCAUCUGCUAGGAUGCUGGCGUAAUGGCUGUAAGCGGCCCGUCUUGAAACACGGACCAAGGAGUCUAACAUCUAUGCGAGUGUUUGGGUGUCAAGCCCGAGCGCGUAAUGAAAGUGAACGGAGGUGGGAACCCCUCGGGGCGCACCAUCGACCGAUCCUGAUGUCUUCGGAUGGAUUUGAGUAAGAGCAUAGCUGUUGGGACCCGAAAGAUGGUGAACUAUGCCUGAAUAGGGUGAAGCCAGAGGAAACUCUGGUGGAGGCUCGCAGCGGUUCUGACGUGCAAAUCGAUCGUCAAAUUUGGGCAUAGGGGCGAAAGACUAAUCGAACUAUCUAGUAGCUGG
rnacentral:rRNA from 1 species